rnacentral:rRNA from 1 species
UACGAAGGGGGCUAGCGUUGCUCGGAAUCACUGGGCGUAAAGGGUGCGUAGGCGGGUUUUUAAGUCAGGGGGGAAAUCCUGGAGCUCAACUCCAGAACUGCCUUUGAUACUGAAGAUCUUGAGUCCGGGAGAGGUGAGUGGAACUGCGAGUGUAGAGGUGAAAUUCGUAGAUAUUCGCAAGAACACCAGUGGCGAAGGCGGCUCACUGGCUCGUAACUGACGCUCAGGCGCGACAGCGUGGGGAGCAAACAGG